rnacentral:rRNA from 1 species
CCCUUAGAUGUUCUGGGCCGCACGCGCGCUACACUGACGGAGGCAGCGAACGUGUCCUUCGCCGGCAGGUGCGGGCAAUCUUGCGAGUCUCCGUCGUGCUGGGGAUAGAUGGUUGCAAUUGUCGAUCUUGAACGAGGAAUUCCUAGUAAGCGCGAGUCAUCAGCUCGCGCUGAUUACGUCCCUGCCCUUUGUACACACCGCCCGUCGCUACUACAGAGUGCCCGUGUCCAAGAAACGGUCGGACCUGUGCGGCCUCUCCGGGCGACCGGAGGGCCGUUACGGGGAAGACCCUUUAUUUGACGCGGGUCGAUGAAGUAAAAGUCGUAACA